UCAAAACAAUAAGCUCUCAGCUUUAGAACCUAGAAAAAGAAGAGAAAAUAAAACUAAAGAAUAAAACCCAAAGAAUCCUCCUACCCAAUUUCAAGAUCUACAGCGACAGUAAACAAAAGUGUGUGGUGUUGGUGAAGGGAUAGACCAAUGGAACAGAAUAAAGAUAAGUGGAACAGAAACAAGGACCCAGAAAGAGAACUACACCAAUAUGUCCAAUGGGGUCUUGACAAAGGGACACCAGGGAACUUCUGGGCUCCUUCUCUGCCUUCUAGGAGGCUCUACGACGCUGGUUCUAGUGCUCUCAGCUGGCUUGUACCACACGGCCAGUUGUCUCCUGCUGCAUGUGCCACAUAUUGGCUCGGGAGGAUCAAAACCUAGAAAAAGAAGAGAAAAUAAAACUAAAGAAUAAAACCCAAAGAAUCCUCCUACCCAAUUUCAAGAUCUACAGCGACAGUAAACAAAAGUGUGUGGUGUUGGUGAAGGGAUAGACCAAUGGAACAGAAUAAAGAUAAGUGGAACAGAAACAAGGACCCAGAAAGAGAACUACACCAAUAUGUCCAAUGGGGUCUUGACAAAGGGACACCAGGGAACUUCUGGGCUCCUUCUCUGCCUUCUAGGAGGCUCUACGACGCUGGUUCUAGUGCUCUCAGCUGGCUUGUACCACACGGCCAGUUGUCUCCUGCUGCAUGUGCCACAUAUUGGCUCGGGAGGAUCAAGUGAGGGGAUGUCCUCUCAGAGAGAUACAUGGCGAACAGAAUAGAGGUCCUCUUUCUUACAUUGUUUACCCUAAUCUCUCAGUAGUUUCUACCAUCUCUUGCCUUCCCUGGAAUUUCAACCCCAGGAGAGGGGGGUGGGUCAGAAGCCCAAACUGUGGCUUCACACUUCUGUCUUUCUUGAAUGUUUUCCCCAAACCAAAGGGCUUACAACAACACCAUUGAUAACCUGAUA